CAGCAGCCGCGGUAAUACGAAGGGUGCAAGCGUUAAUCGGAAUUACUGGGCGUAAAGCGUGCGUAGGCGGUGAGUUAAGUCUGCUGUGAAAUCCCCGGGCUCAACCUGGGAAUGGCAGUGGAUACUGGCUCGCUAGAGUGUGUCAGAGGAUGGUGGAAUUCCCGGUGUAGCGGUGAAAUGCGUAGAGAUCGGGAGGAACAUCAGUGGCGAAGGCGGCCAUCUGGGACAACACUGACGCUGAGGCACGAAAGCGUGGGGAGCAAACAGGAUUAGAUACCCCUGUAGUCCCUGUUUCUUAUAC
rnacentral:rRNA from 1 species